UACGAAGGGGGCUAGCGUUGCUCGGAAUCACUGGGCGUAAAGCGCACGUAGGCGGACUCUUAAGUCGGUGGUGAAAUCCUGGAGCUCAACUCCAGAACUGCCUUCGAUACUGAGAGUCUCGAGUCCGAGAGAGGUGAGUGGAACUGCGAGUGUAGAGGUGAAAUUCGUAGAUAUCGGGAGGAACACCAGUGGCGAAGGCGACUUCCUGGCCUGUUCUUGACGCUGAGGCGCGAAAGCUAGGGGAGCAAACGGG
rnacentral:rRNA from 1 species